GCGGGGAUAGCUCAGUUGGGAGAGCGUCAGACUGAAGUCAAAUAAAUUUGAAACAAAAAACUUCAUUUAUAUACAAUCUUCUUCUAGAUUAUCUGAAGGUCGUGCGUUCGAUCCGCACUCACCGCA